rnacentral:rRNA from 1 species
GGAGACUGCCGAACUUGGGACCGGGAGAGGCUAGAGGUACUUCUGGGGUAGGGGUAAAAAUCCUGUAAUCCUAGAAGGACCACCGGUGGCGAAGGCGUCUAGCUAGAACGGAUCCGACGGUGAGGGACGAAGCCCUGGGUCGCAAACGGGAUUAGAUACCCCGGUAGUCCAGGGUGUAAACGCUGCAGACUUGGUGUUGGAGGCCCUUUGGGGGCAUCCAGUGCCGGAGAGAAGUUGUUAAGUCUGCUACUUGGGGAGUACGUCCGCAAGGAUGAAACUUAAAGGAAUUGGCGGGGGAGCACCGCAAACCGGGAGGAGCGUGCGGUUUAAUUGGAUUCAACACCGUAAAACUCACCAGGGAAGACUGUUACAUGAAGGCCGGGCUAAAGACUCUGCCAGAUUUUCAGAGUAGAGGUGCAUGG